UUUUACCACCAACGCAGGCUCCACGUUCUCGUGGGGUUGACGGUAGGUGGGGAAUAAGGACCGGCUAACUACGUGCCAGCAGCCGCGGUAAUACGUAGGGUCCGAGCGUUGUCCGGAAUUAUUGGGCGUAAAGAGCUCGUAGGCGGCAUGUCGCGUCUGCUGUGAAAGACCGGGGCUUAACUCCGGUUCUGCAGUGGAUACGGGCAUGCUAGAGGUAGGUAGGGGAGACUGGAAUUCCUGGUGUAGCGGUGAAAUGCGCAGAUAUCAGGAGGAACACCGGUGGCGAAGGCGGGUCUCUGGGCCUUACCUGACGCUGAGGAGCGAAAGCAUGGGGAGCGAACAGGAUUAGAUACCCUGGUAGUCCAUGCCGUAAACGUUGGGCGCUAGGUGUGGGGACUUUCCACGGUUUCCGCGCCGUAGCUAACGCAUUAAGCGCCCCGCCUGGGGAGUACGGCCGCAAGGCUAAAACUCAAAGGAAUUGACGGGGGCCCGCACAAGCGGCGGAGCAUGUUGCUUAAUUCGACGCAACGCGAAGAACCUUACCAAGGUUUGACAUCACCCGUGGACCUGUAGAGAUACAGGGUCAUUUAGUUGGUGGGUGACAGGUGGUGCAUGGCUGUCGUCAGCUCGUGUCGUGAGAUGUUGGGUUAAGUCCCGCAACGAGCGCAACCCUUGUUCCAUGUUGCCAGCACGUAAUGGUGGGGACUCAUGGGAGACUGCCGGGGUCAACUCGGAGGAAGGUGGGGACGACGUCAAGUCAUCAUGCCCCUUAUGUCUUGGGCUGCAAACAUGCUACAAUGGCCGGUACAAUGGGCGUGCGAUACCGUAAGGUGGAGCGAAUCCCUUAAAGCCGGUCUCAGUUCGGAUUGGGGUCUGCAACUCGACCCCAUGAAGGUGGAGUCGCUAGUAAUCGCGGAUCAGCAACGCCGCGGUGAAUACGUUCCCGGGCCUUGUACACACCGCCCGUCACGUCAUGAAAGUCGGCAACACCCGAAACUUGUGGCCUAACC
rnacentral:rRNA from 1 species